UCGAGCGGACGACGAGACUCGAACUCGCGACAUCCACCUUGGCAAGGUGGUGCUCUACCAACUGAGCUACGUCCGC
rnacentral:tRNA from 1 species